UGGAGUUGUAGCUCAGCUGUAGAAUGCUUGCCUAGCAUGAAUGAGACCCUGGGUUCAAUUCCCAACACUGUAA
rnacentral:tRNA from 1 species